CCGUGAAACUGCGAAUGGCUCAUUAAAUCAGUUAUCGUUUAUUUGAUAGUACCUUACUACUUGGAUACCUGUGGUAAUUCUAGAGCUAAUACAUGCUAAAAACCCCGACUUCGGGAGGGGUGUAUUUAUUAGAUAAAAAACCAAUGCCCUUCGGGGCUCCUUGGUGAUUCACAAUAACUUCUCAGAUCGCAUGGCCUUGCGCCGGCGACGGUUCAUUCAAAUUUCUGCCCUAUCAACUUUCGAUGGUAAGGUAUUGGCUUACCAUGGUUUCUACGGGUAACGGGGAAUUAGGGUUCGAUUCCGGAGAGUUAGCCUGAGAAACGGCUAACACAUCCAAGGAAGGCAGCAGGCGCGCAAAUUACCCAAUCCUGAUACAGGGAGGUAGUGACAAUAAAUACUGAUACAGGGCUCUUUUGGGUCUUGUAAUUGGAAUGAGUACAAUUUAAACCUCUUAACGAGGAACAAUUGGAGGGCAAGUCUGGUGCCAGCAGCCGCGGUAAUUCCAGCUCCAAUAGCGUAUAUUAAAGUUGUUGCAGUUAAAAAGCUCGUAGUUGAACCUUUGGCCUGGCUGGCAGGUCCGCCUCACCGCGUGCACUUGUCCGGCCGGGCCUUUUCUUCUGGAGAACCGCAUGCCCUUCACUGGGUGUGUUGGGGACCAGGACUUUUACUUUGAAAAAAUUAGAGUGUUCAAAGCAGGCCUUUGCUCGAAUAUUACAGCAUGGAAUAAUGAAAUAGGACGCGCGGUUCUAUUUUGUUGGUUUCUAGGACCGCCGUAAUGAUUAAUAGGGACAGUCGGGGGCAUCAGUAUUCAAUUGUCAGAGGUGAAAUUCUUGGAUUUAUUGAAGACUAACUACUGCGAAAGCAUUUGCCAAGGAUGUUUUCAUUAAUCAGUGAACGAAAGUUAGGGGAUCGAAGACGAUCAGAUACCGUCGUAGUCUUAACCAUAAACUAUGCCGACUAGGGAUCGGGCGGUGUUAUUAUUUUGACUCGCUCGGCACCUUACGAGAAAUCAAAGU
rnacentral:rRNA from 1 species